rnacentral:rRNA from 1 species
GACGAACGCUGGCGGCGUGCUUAACACAUGCAAGUCGAACGGAAAGGCCCUGCUUUUGUGGGGUGCUCGAGUGGCGAACGGGUGAGUAACACGUGAGUAACCUGCCCUUGACUUUGGGAUAACUUCAGGAAACUGGGGCUAAUACCGGAUAGGAGCUCCUGCUGCAUGGUGGGGGUUGGAAAGUUUCGGCGGUUGGGGAUGGACUCGCGGCUUAUCAGCUUGUUGGUGGGGUAGUGGCUUACCAAGGCUUUGACGGGUAGCCGGCCUGGGAGGGUGACCGGCCACAUUGGGACUGAGAUACGGCCCAGACGCCUACGGGAGGCAGCAGUGGGGAAUAUUGCACAAUGGGCGGAAGCCUGAUGCAGCAACGCCGCGUGCGGGAUGACGGCCUUCGGGUUGUAAACCGCUUUCGCCUGUGACGAAGCGUGAGUGACGGUAAUGGGUAAAGAAGCACCGGCUAACUACGUG